GUGUGGCAGCGUGAGGUCGUUUCUGCGCUGGUAUGCUCCGGAUAUACGCACAAUUAUUUAGCCAGCGAAUGUCUGGAUAUAACAGUGCUUUACUUGUCAACAGUGUUUUUACAAGAUUAUUAAUGUACUGUCGCCUAAAAUGUAGCGUACAUUCUGUUAUGAACAAAGCUUAAGUUUAUAAAUUUAUGAAUAGUCAUUUUAUUAGUAAGUACGUAGAAUUCGAAUGUACAAUAAUUUUCUUUGAUUCAGAGUGUUUUCAGAAUUCCAGUUGUGAUUUUAAGUGUUAUAAGAUAAUUAUAGUUUCUGUAAUUGUGCCGCAAAUUUAUUCAACAUGUGUUUCGUUUUUAUUUUGCUCGAGCACCUCGUUUCUGAUUGAGAGCAGAAUACCGAUCUGCAAAACUAUUUACGUUUGCUAGGCCAUUUUGCGCUUCCUGGAACCUAAAUUUUUGGCUGUUUUUCGGUGCUCACGAAUUUUUCGUACUGAGAUGGCGCACAACCUGAACAUAGACAUAGAAGUUGUGCUUGUUCGAUACGAAGAUGCUGCUGUGGAAAUAAAGUUUUCGUUCUCAAAGAUGACAGAAGUGCUGGGAGGCUACAUUUGCAAAUGUUUUGAUUCCAACGGGACCGGUAUUUCUCCAACAUUUUGCCGUAUUUUUUAUAAUCCCGUGACACAACUAAUCUCUACAAUGCUUUGGAUGACCAUUUUUGUCACGAUCUUCGUGCUCACAUUUAUUUUCAUUUCAGCAUUGUGUUCAAGUUUUUUUUUAAUAUAUACCGCGUUUGCAUGUUUUUGUAACGUUAUUCUUAAUGGAUCAAGUCUUGCUUUCUGGUCAAAUUUGCUGUAAAUUAUUUUUGUAUUAUUUUUAAAUUACAGGCUCCAAAGGAAAAACCUAUCGACAUAUAGUAUUGGCACGGUUGAUGUUGGAGUGACGACUGAUUGAUGUUUGAUUAUAAAGCCUUAUAAUUUUUAAUCUAAUUACAGGGCUUUGCAAAGAAGGAAGAUAUUGUUACUGCUAGUGGACGAGUGACGAUUGGUCGAUGUAAAUGGAAAGGGCUUUGCAAAGGUAGAAGAUAUUGUUACUGCUGAUGGUCGUGUGACGAUUGAUCGAUGAUAAAUGGACAGGCGGGGGUUGCGUAUUUUUUCUAUUUCAUGAAAAAUAUACCCAUUGGAAGAAAUGAAAAAUAUAUUCCCAUUGGAAGAAAUAAUUUCUUAAACUAAUGCAUGCGAAUACAAGAUGAGAUUUUGAAGUAACAAGAGUGCAAUGCACAACUAUAUGGAGACCAAUUUGCCCGCAAUUUCUCUGAAAAUCAUAUCUUGGACGAGUCUCGGAUAGCUGCAGUUGAUUCUACCCGGAACAGCGAAUCAAGGCGGAAUCAAUCUUACAAAUCGGGAUAAAGUAAGUACGUUCUGGACGGGGGAAAAAGAAAAUAUUUAUCUCGAAUCAAGCAGACGUAGAAUGGCAGUUUUAUCUUGAUAGCGAAUGUUUCACAAUUGUACAAACCAGUACCCAUGGCACAGGCUGGUCAUCUGACGUGGGUGAAUAUCUGGAUCGGCGAAGCAAGCGCUGACCUAAAACCGGGUUACAGAGAGAUAGACUGCCAUCUAAAAAUACGAGUAACACUCUUUAAUUGGGGCACGCCUGAUUUGGUGUAAUAUCAGUGUUAAUUAAUUGACUAACUAAUUGGACUGAAAAAUGGCAUUUGAAACUUUGCCCUUGCGCUAAGUAUAUCUAAAUCUAGCUUACUCUUUUUAUGCUCUGUCACAAAUUUCGUUCUGUGCCGGUAUCUUAGCAGAUUGUGUUAUAAUUUAGGCAGUUCGAUUCCUUUUUUUUAUUUUGAAUUGAUGUGUAUUUAAUAAAUAUAACCGAUG